GCUGGAAGGUUAAGAGGAGUGGUUGGCACAGCCGAAGCGACGAAUCGAAGCCCCAGUGAACGGCGGCCGUAACGAUGGCGGUCCUCAGGUAGUGUAAUUGCUUGGCGGGUAGGUUCCGUGCCGCACGAAGGGCGUAACGCUUUGGGUGCUGUCUCAACGCGAGCGUCGGUGACGUCGUAGUCCCGGUGAGGAUGCGGGUUUCCCGCGGCAGGACGGAAGGACCCCGUGAAGCUUUGCUGUAGGCUGAUGUUGAAAUUCGGUACGGUUUGUGCAGGAUAGGUA
rnacentral:rRNA from 1 species